CCUCUUCUCAGAUAGUGUACAAAGUCCUCCAGCUGCUGAGGAGAGAAAGAGAUCACUUUCUGUCCAGGAUAGGACUUCCCUGCAAGUUAAGACUCCUGCUACAAACUCUACAAUCAGUAACAGCUCCUCUAACGAAAAACAGAAGAGAACAUCUCUUUGAACCUCAGUAGUCCAACUAUCCUCCAGCAGUGAAACAGAAA